rnacentral:rRNA from 1 species
CAGUCGCCGCGGGAAUACGUAGGGUGCGAGCGUUAAUCGGAAUUACUGGGCGUAAAGCGUGCGCAGGCGGUUUGUUAAGACAGAUGUGAAAUCCCCGGGCUUAACCUGGGAACUGCGCUUGUGACUGCACAGCUAGAGUAUGGCAGAGGGGGGUGGAAUUCCACGUGUAGCAGUGAAAUGCGUAGAGAUGUGGAGGAACACCGAUAGCGAAGGCAGCCCCCUGGGCCAAUACUGACGCUCAUGCACGAAAGCGUGGGGAGCAAACAGGAUUAGAUACCCCGGUAGUCCCUGUCUCUUAUAC